AUUGAACGCUGGCGGCAGGCUUAACACAUGCAAGUCGAGCGGAGAUGAGGUGCUUGCACCUUAUCUUAGCGGCGGACGGGUGAGUAAUGCUUAGGAAUCUGCCUAUUAGUGGGGGACAACAUUCCGAAAGGAAUGCUAAUACCGCAUACGUCCUACGGGAGAAAGCAGGGGAUCUUCGGACCUUGCGCUAAUAGAUGAGCCUAAGUCGGAUUAGCUAGUUGGUGGGGUAAAGGCCUACCAAGGCGACGAUCUGUAGCGGGUCUGAGAGGAUGAUCCGCCACACUGGGACUGAGACACGGCCCAGACUCCUGCGGGAGGCAGCAGUGGGGAAUAUUGGACAAUGGGGGAAACCCUGAUCCAGCCAUGCCGCGUGUGUGAAGAAGGCCUUAUGGUUGUAAAGCACUUUAGGCGAGGAGGAGGCUACUGAGACUAAUACUCUUGGAUAGUGGACGUUACUCGCAGAAUAAGCACCGGCUAACUCUGUGCCAGCCGCCGCAGUAA
rnacentral:rRNA from 1 species